rnacentral:rRNA from 1 species
AGCUCCAAUAGCGUAUAUUAAAGUUGCUGCAGUUAAAAAGCUCGUAGUUGCAUUUCCGAGGCAAGGGAUUAGUCCGACCUUUGGUGGGUAUUUAAUCCUCUUGCCUCGUCCUUGAGUGGUGCUUCUUGGUAUUAAGUUAUCGAGGAGAUAGCCGCUCAUCGUUUACUGUGAGAAAAUUAGAGUGUUCAAAGCAGGCUUAUGCCGUUGAAUAUAUUAGCAUGGAAUAAUAAGAUAGGACCUCGGUACUAUUUGGUUGGUUUGAGAACCAAGGUAAUGAUGAAUAGGGACAGUUGGGGGUAUGCGUAUUCAGUUGUCAGAGGUGAAAUUCUUAGAUUUACGGAAGACGAACUACUGCGAAAGCAUUUACCAAGGAUGUUUUCA